rnacentral:rRNA from 1 species
UGGGGAAUUUUGGACAAUGGGGGAAACCCUGAUCCAGCCAUCCCGCGUGUGCGAUGAAGGCCUUCGGGUUGUAAAGCACUUUUGGCAGGAAAGAAACGUCGCGGGUUAAUACCCCGCGAAACUGACGGUACCUGCAGAAUAAGCACCGGCUAACUACGUGCCAGCAGCCGCGGUAAUACGUAGGGUGCAAGCGUUAAUCGGAAUUACUGGGCGUAAAGCGUGCGCAGGCGGUUCGGAAAGAAAGAUGUGAAAUCCCAGAGCUUAACUUUGGAACUGCAUUUUUAACUACCGGGCUAGAGUGUGUCAGAGGGAGGUGGAAUUCCGCGUGUAGCAGUGAAAUGCGUAGAUAUGCGGAGGAACACCGAUGGCGAAGGCAGCCUCCUGGGAUAACACUGACGCUCAUGCACGAAAGCGUGGGGAGCAAACAUGAUUAGAUACCCUGGUAGUCCACGCCCUAAACGAUGUCAACUAGCUGUUGGGGCCUUCGGGCCUUGGUAGCGCAGCUAACGCGUGAAGUUGACCGCCUGGGGAGUACGGUCGCAAGAUU